AAGUCGUAACAAGGUAACCGUAGGUGAACCUGCGGUUGGAUCAUUACUAAAGAAUUUGCAUGUUAUGUUGAUCGCUUGCCGGUUUGCAUACCAUGCAAAUUUACUCACCCCUUUUGUGAACUGUUAACCGUGUUUUGGCGGCCCUCCAAAAAUGCUUUUUUAAGAAAAUCACUUUUGGGUGUAUUUUUUUUCCAAAGUAUGGGCCGUCAGCCUUUUUGUAAUCACACCAAUGUUGUAUUUAUAUAUCAUGUCUCCAAAAGAUUCAUCGAAUCUUUGUUUUUAUAAUAAAAAACAACUUUUGACAACGGAUCUCUUGGCUCUC
rnacentral:misc_RNA from 1 species